CUUCCUACAACAAUCUGGUUUUCAGCUUUUGCCUCUUCAGAAAACAAUUACAAAAUCAGCACACCCGGAAGCCCACCCCAAGUGCAGGUGCUUUAUCAUAGCACAAUGACUCCUGUUGUCUACCAGAUACUUUAAAAUCCCUCCUGUCACAAACCAUUCCAUUAGGUCAGGUCACGGUGCCUAAGAGAUAAGAACCAGUCAAGACCUAGAUGAUCCAGACUCCCUAAUGGAAAAUCUAACAGAAGUUUUCAAAGUAGCAGUGUUUUUUGAAAGGCUUGACCAUAACUCACGUAACUAGAUCUCAUUAAAAAGUUUCCUUUAGCCUUUUUAAAUUCACCUGAAUUUCCUAAAUUGUUGAACAAGAGCAAAUUGAAAGUCUAUGCCUACGUUCAAUGUAAUCUAAUCCUGACCAGUUUAUCCCCUCCAAAAAAAAAAAAAAUAAGGCUGAAAGGACAUUUUUGCAACAUCUGGGCUAUUUACAUAUGUGCCCAAGCAAAAAGAUGUGGUCCAGAUUUCAGCUCCUCCAAAAGUCAGGAAAGACCAGUGAUGGGGACUGGGUUCUUGCCACUGCAGAUGCUAGUGUGGGUUUUCCAAUAGGAAGUUUUUGGCUGGGUUAGUCACCCUCUUUCAGUGUUGUGAUGUUGUCAUAAUUAGCAAAGAAACCUUGCAAAUGAGCAGACUAAAAUGCUGUAGUUCUCAGUAUUAUCUUUGUUUUCACCCCCAUCCCUUUCCAGCAGGAAACAUGGGAGACUGGAGGGUCGAACUGGUCAUUUCCUUGCCCUGUGGGAAAGAAACCCCAGUAAUUUAUGUACAAGAGACAAGAAAUAUUUAAGUAGUGACCCUAGAAUACCUACAGCAUGCAGUAUUUUUCUGUUUCCUGCAUUUUUUUCAUAGGUUGAGUCUUCUGGAACCCUGCUAGAGAACCUUUACAUUAGCCCUGCCCACUCCUGUAGCAACCUGCAUGGCCAGCUCCAGCCCCUUUCCAUUGGAGAACUGCCUACACAGCUCUCUACUGGUUUUGCUUAAGUUUCUGCUGUGCUGACAAGAAGCACUUUCUUAGAGUUGAAGGCAACAAAAGCAACUUCCUGGAAGGAAACAGGUAUGGGGAGCAGUGACACCAUGGGAGAGCAUUAGGCAUCUUUACAAGGGAGUCCUCUCCCCCCAGUUUUCUCCUACCAUGUCCCCGGGAAACCUGUUGUGAAGUGAGAAGCAUCUUCUCUCUUUGGUGGUCAAGGGAGCUGCGGACCUUCCCUUCAGCAUCCCAACCCUUUUGGGGUUGCCCAUGUCAAGGAAGGCCUUCUGUUUUCCUGGGAGUAAAGACAUCAUGUCGGUGGAGUCUCAGACGAACAAAAAGGCUCUUUCUUGCCAGCAGCUGGAGUGCACGGCUGCGAGGGGCUGUGCAUACACUGCAUGAAAACCUGUGACCGACUCCAGCCGGUGAGGGAGGGAGGGAGGGAGGAAGGAAGGAAGGAAGAAAGGAAGGAAGGAGAGACACCUAGAAUAAAGCAAAGUUGCCAGCCGUGUACUGCUUGUCAAAGAGGAAUGCUGAUUGCUGCAGCCAUCAGGAACAGCUGUGGGUCUCCUGUGUGCUCCCCAUGGAGCAGACCCUAGAGUGGGAUCUGGAGGUCUGGUGGGGUGGGGAUGGAGGACACUGGGUGUUUUGGUUGCUUAAGUCUGUGCAGUGGGAAGGAGAUGGAGAGAGGCAUUUUGCAGUGCUCCUUAGAGAAGGCCUGCAAAUUCAGGGAGAUUUGGGACCUUCAGCCUGAGUCCAGACCCUGGAGGGGAAAAUCACUGGGUUUUGCAAACAGGCUUGU